rnacentral:sRNA from 1 species
GGACCACCCGGUCAUUCACGGGUCGAGGCCAUACGGACAGCCGGGUCCACUGCCGA